ACUAAGCGUACACGGUGGAUGCCCUGGCAGUCAGAGGCGAUGAAGGACGUGCUAAUCUGCGAUAAGCGUCGGUAAGGUGAUAUGAACCGUUAUAACCGGCGAUUUCCGAAUGGGGAAACCCAGUGUGAUUCGUCACACUAUCAUUAACUGAAUCCAUAGGUUAAUGAGGCGAACCGGGGGAACUGAAACAUCUAAGUACCCCGAGGAAAAGAAAUCAACCGAGAUUCCCCCAGUAGCGGCG
rnacentral:rRNA from 1 species